rnacentral:rRNA from 1 species
UCUGGCGUCUUCGGCGUCCGAGUUGUAAUUUGCAGAGGGCGCUUUGGCAUUGGCAGCGGUCCAAGUUCCUUGGAACAGGACGUCACAGAGGGUGAGAAUCCCGUACGUGGUCGCUAGCCUUUACCGUGUAAAGCCCCUUCGACGAGUCGAGUUGUUUGGGAAUGCAGCUCUAAAUGGGAGGUAAAUUUCUUCUAAAGCUAAAUACUGGCCAGAGACCGAUAGCGCACAAGUAGAGUGAUCGAAAGAUGAAAAGCACUUUGGAAAGAGAGUUAAAAAGCACGUGAAAUUGUUGAAAGGGAAGCGCUUGCAGCCAGACUUGCCUGUAGUUGCUCAUCCGGGUUUCUACCCGGUGCACUCUUCUAUAGGCAGGCCAGCAUCAGUUUGGGCGGUUGGAUAAAGGUCUCUGUCAUGUACCUCCUUUCGGGGAGAUCUUAUAGGGGAGACGACAUGCAACCAGCCUGGACUGAGGUCCGCGCAUCUGCUAGGAUGCUGGCGUAAUGGCUGUAAGCGGCCCGUCUUGAAACACGGACCAAGGAGUCUAACAUCUAUGCGAGUGUUUGGGUGUCAAGCCCGAACGCGU